rnacentral:lncRNA from 1 species
UGGCAGCACCGUCGGGGGACCCUGCAGUGCACUAGCUCUGCAUCUUGCCUCACCUUUGCCAAGGGGAUGGCCUCCCUAAAUGCUGCCCAGACCUGUCUCCCAGCAUUUUAAGAGAUGUCCCCAGGCCACCAGGCUGCACCGGAGUGCUCUUCCCUCUCCAGGGAGCAUCCCUAUCCUUCCCUCCACCUUCUGCUUCCCUAGACAGCUCCAAGAGGGUCUCCGCCUCCCUUCUAGGAGCACUUCAGGCAACGCAAGCUGAGGGUCGCCUCCCCAGCGCCUGUUCCCGGCCAAGGGCCACUAAUAUCCCUGAGCUGGAGGCUGCUCCAAUCGCUGCCAGGCUGCACCCUCUGCUGGGACCCGCAGGCAUCGGCGCGGACUCGCACCGAGCCUUGGAGCUGUCGAGCAGCGGGGAGGACACGAAGAGGACCCCCGAGUCCUGCCCCAGCCCGUCCUUGCUGCCACCCCUCAGUCCCCGGUUCUUGUUGAUGCCGGGUGUACUGACACCACCCCCAGCUGCCCACACUGCAUUCUCCAUAACCAACAAUGCCCGGGUCCCUUGUGGUGUUGACCCCAUGCCCAGGACCCCCAGAAGGGCUGGAGUUUUCCUGGGAAGGUUUGAGGUGCUAUGGUUCAGCCCUUGCCCAGUGGCCAGCGUGGCACCUGCCCAGCUGAAGGUGGGGAGUGCCCGGUCUCCCCACAGACUACACAGGGAUGCUGCAAGAAACUCUGCUGCCUAGACACCCAGGAUUUCACCGCUCAACAGGGCACUCUUCCUCCUUUCCCCCAGCCUGUGCUGGCCUCAUCCAUCCCAGGCGCUGGUAGGAGACACUGCAUGACACGGUGCAGUUCCAGGCAGGGCUGGCACUCCUGUCCAGGUGAAGGGGACAGCUCUGCCCCAAAGCUGGUCCCCUUCCCGCUGUGCAGUGUCCCUUGCCCGAGUGGGAGGUAAGUGGGAGCACAGGGAGCUCUUUGUCAAGCCAGGGGACGUGCUCAGGCCAUUACAAGCGUGUAA